rnacentral:lncRNA from 1 species
CCCCCCUCCCCCAGUACCGGGACCCCCGUCCCUGAGUACUUAGGAACCGCUCCCCAGCCCGCCCAGGGCAGCGGCGCCCGAGGAGCGGCCCAGCGGCCUCCACCGGAAGCGAAGGCGCGGGAGGGGGAGGGGAGGGGAGGGGAGGGAGGGGAGGGGAGAGCGGGGAGGCCGGGGGCGGGGGCGGGGGGCCGCGGGGCCUGGAGGCCGCGCUCUGGGCCGGGUCGCGGGGGCGGCUCCUCCGUCCGUCCCGGGCCUCCCCGCCCCCCGCCCGCGAAUCCGCGACCUACAGGCCCCCCCCCCGCCGGGGUCCGCGGGCCUGCGAGGACGCACCUGCACCUGCACUGCACCUGCGCUGCACCUGCGCCUGCACGCACCUGCACCUGCGCCUGCGGGGGCGGGGGGAGGCGGGCGGGCGGGCGGCGGCCCUGCUGGUCCCGGCGGCGGCCACACCCCUGCGCCGCGGGCGGGAGGGCGGAGGGGGAGGCGGGGGAGGCCCGGGGUGCGGAGGGCGCGGGGGAGGGGGUGCAGGGGGGGGCGGGGGGUGCAGGGGGGCGGGGGAGGGGUGUGGAGGGGGAGGGCGCGGAGGGGCGGGGGAGGGGGGUGCAGGGGGGCGGAGGGCGUGGGGGGAGGGGGAGGGGGGCGGGAGGGGGUGCAGGGGGGGCGAGGGGCGGGGGCCGGGGGGCGUGGACACAGGCAGGACUCCGCCCCCAGGACCCCAGGUGCCCUCCAGCCCCUCCCCCCAGGGCCAGGUGGCCCCAGGGUACAGGUGGCCCAGAUGGCCCCUCACCUCCAGCGCUGGGGCUCCCGUUGGCAAAUGGACAGGGUCCCGCUGCGCCCGAGCCCCCGAUGUUUCAGGAGGGACACGGGGACUGGGAGUCGCCCUCAGCCCCUGGACCCGGGGGUGUCUCCGGGCGCCCUCUGGGCCGGGGGGAGCCUGGAAGGUGCGCAGCCCAGGUGGGGCGCAGGAGGGAGCGCAGGUGCCGCGCCUUCGGGAGGGGCCCUGCAGGUGCAGGUGGAGGGUGCGGCUGCCCGAGCUUUGGGGACCUGAAAGCGUUAUUGCCCGUGAGGCCGCGGAGUGGUUAG